AUACAUACCUGGGUGGGGUCAAUGGGUGAUCAAGAAGGCCCAUGGCCUAGAUCAGUAUCCUCCAUUGCACUUUGGAGGAGCACUAGUCUAAGCUCUCCUUAUAUGGAGAGCCUACACCAUAAUUUGUGUCAGUGGGGGCUGCGGUUUCAGCGGCCCCUA